AACCAUCUAGUAGCUGGUUCC
rnacentral:ncRNA from 3 species